AAACAUUCAUUCUCUUUUUUUUUUUAAUAAGCACUCGGUUCCCUCAAAAUUAUUAAAGAAAGGAAACUCUCUCUCUCUCUUAAUUGAAGCAAAAUUUUGCUCACUCUUCUCUCUCUCUCGUUCGAUCGAUCCAGCCAUCAUCCGGGGUCCUUCUUCCCGGCGAGUCAUCGCCGGAAAUCCAUCUCUCUCUCCCUCGCAUACAUCGGUAACCACCCAAACACUCACCUCUCAAUCUCUCUCGAAUCUCCUCCGGCGAAGAACCGUCGGUCAGUCACCUCCCUCAACGUUUCACUACAGCGCCGUUGUUCCUGCUGCUCCGGCGACUCACGACGAGGCCACCGCCGAUUGCUGCUGUUUGUGGAAGCGCCGCCGACUGCUGCUGUUCGUGGAGUCCGCCGCCGACUGCUGCUGUUCUGAAGUUGGCCGCCGACUGCUGCUGCUCUGGUAUCGCGGGCUGCUGUUGCAGAGCUCCGACAGCCACCACCGUCGUCGGCUGCCGCUGCCUCGCCCAAGGCCGACUUCUGCUACCAAGCACCGAACGCCGCUGCUGUAGGGAGGCCGGCGAACAGUCGGGUGUUCGCCGUUUCCAGUUCUUCUCCGAGUUCCGAAGCCGGUGAGAGCUCCAUCAUCGCGUCGUCUCGUUCGUCUCUCGGCCCAACUGAACAGGUCGUGGAGCAACAAGGCGAGCUUCUCGCCUGAACCCACCGCCAAGCACCGAGUCGCUGCUGCUCGUCGUCUCUCGAUCAGCCUGAACAGGCCGCGUCCCUUCUUCCUAAAGCUAAGUUAUCUACUUUCAUUUUUCUUCUACUUCAGUUUCUAGUUGUUACGCGUGGGGUUCUCAUGAUUCGUUGUUCUAGAGUGCAGUGGCAGUAUACACACAAGUCUUUCUAUUGCUAUACAUAACAUGGACUGUUUGAUGUAGUGGUAAAACAUGAUUAUGCUCGUUGGUACGAAUGCGAACUCGAUUGGAUAACUGAGGUGGAAUAAGGGAAGAAGGUGGAGCAUUGAAGACAAGCUUACCUUGAGAAUACUUGGUAGGAUGAAUUAAAGGCUCACUUCUCCUUGUGCAGUCCUCAAAUGAAGAAUGAAGAGAAUGCAACAAUGUUGGCUGUUUUGAAUGACGAGGUGGUUUGGCUGGGAGCUUGUAUACAUGGGAGGAGGUACAUUCUAGGGUGGCUGAUUGACAUAUUUAGGUGUACUUGGGCAUGGCAGCCUGCUGCAUAGGCGUGGGAAAAGAAAAGGUGCAGCAAGCUCAAGAGGGGAUAGGGGAGUGUGCAGCACAUGUCUCCAUACCUUAUUGUUAUUCCCAUUUUCUUGAACUUAGGGGGGGUGGCAGGUGGUGGAGUAGUAAAAAUCUAAUUUGUAUUAUUAUCGAGAUUGCUAAAUUAAAUCCAUAGAUUUAAUUCGUUCGUCA